rnacentral:rRNA from 1 species
GGUGACCGUAAAAGGAGCUUCCUAGGGUAAAACUAGUAACUAGGGCUAAGUCGUAACAAGGUAGCCGUACCGGAAGGUGCGGCU